UACGUAGGGUGCGAGCGUUAAUCGGAAUUACUGGGCGUAAAGCGUGCGCAGGCGGUUCGUUGUGUCGGCGGUGAAAUCCCCGGGCUCAACCUGGGAAUGGCCGUUGAAACUGGCGAACUGGAGUGUGGCAGAGGGGGGUGGAAUUCCACGUGUAGCAGUGAAAUGCGUAGAGAUGUGGAGGAACACCGAUGGCGAAGGCGGUUCUCUGGGCCUUACCUGACGCUGAGGAGCGAAAGCGUGGGGAGCGAACAGG
rnacentral:rRNA from 1 species